CGUAGGUGGCAAGCGUUGUCCGGAUUUAUUGGGUUUAAAGGGUGCGUAGGCGGUCUUUUAAGUCAGUGGUGAAAUACUUCAGCUUAACUGGAGAGGUGCCAUUGAUACUGGGAGACUUGAGUACUGAUGAGGUAGGCGGAAUGGACGGUGUAGCGGUGAAAUGCUUAGAUAUCGUCCAGAACACCGAUAGCGAAGGCAGCUUACUAAGGAGUAACUGGCGCUGAGGCACGAAAGUGUGGGGGUCAAACAGGAUUAGAUACCCUGGUAGUCCACACUGUAAACGAUGAUCACUCGAUGUUGGCGAUACACAGCCAGCGUCUUAGCAAAAGCGAUAAGUGAUCCACCUGGGGAGUACGCCGGCAACGGUG
rnacentral:rRNA from 1 species